rnacentral:rRNA from 1 species
GAUGAACGCUGGCGGCGUGCUUAACACAUGCAAGUCGAACGAUGAAGCCCAGCUUGCUGGGUGGAUUAGUGGCGAACGGGUGAGUAACACGUGAGUAACCUGCCCUUGACUCUGGGAUAAGCCUGGGAAACUGGGUCUAAUACUGGAUAUGACUUCUCAUCGCAUGGUGGGGGGUGGAAAGAUUUAUUGGUUUUGGGUGGACUCGCGGCCUAUCAGCUUGUUGGUGGGGUAAUGGCUCACCAAGGCGACGACGGGUAGCCGGCCUGAGAGGGUGACCGGCCACACUGGGACUGAGACACGGCCCAGACUCCUACGGGAGGCAGCAGUGGGGAAUAUUGCACAAUGGGCGCAAGCCUGAUGCAGCGACGCCGCGUGAGGGAUGACGGCCUUCGGGUUGUAAACCUCUUUCAGUAGGGAAGAAGCGAGAGUGACGGUACCUGCAGAAGAAGCGCCGGCUAACUACGUG